rnacentral:rRNA from 1 species
GACAGAGGGUGCAAACGUUGUUCGGAAUUACUGGGCGUAAAGGGCGCGUAGGCGGUUCGUCAAGUCCCGCGUGAAAGCCCCCGGCUCAACUGGGGAACUGCGCGGGAAACUGUCGGACUUGAGUUCGGGAGAGGGAAGCGGAAUUCAUGGUGUAGCAGUGAAAUGCGUAGAGAUCAUGAGGAAGACCAGUGGCGAAGGCGGGUCUCUGGACAGUUCCUGACACUGAGGCACGAAGGCCAGGGGAGCAAACGGG